rnacentral:rRNA from 1 species
GUGCCAGCCGCCGCGGUAAUACGUAGGUGGCAAGCGUUGUCCGGAAUUAUUGGGCGUAAAGCGCGCGCAGGCGGCUUCUUAAGUCUGAUGUGAAAGCCCACGGCUUAACCGUGGAGGGUCAUUGGAAACUGGGGGGCUUGAGUGCAGAAGAGGAGAGUGGAAUUCCAAGUGUAGCGGUGAAAUGCGUAGGGAUUUGGAGGAACACCAGUGGCGAAGGCGGAUUUCUGGGCGGCAACUGACGCUGAGGCGCGAAA